rnacentral:lncRNA from 1 species
GGGUACAAUUGGAACAAAUUCAAACAAGCAGAUUCGAGAAGUGAUUAGAAGAGAGAGAUUUCACAAGCUCUCCCCAGUCCCCGAGUGGCACAGAAGAUGGGUGUGCAUGCAUUCUCCCUGCAGUGACCGUGGACGAGGCGGCAGCGGCACUAGCCCCUUGAUACUGGAGCCCUGGUUCCUGCGUCACAGUCACACUCACUUCAGGUGGUCUCCGUGCUUGGUGCCCUGCGGGUCUGGUCUCAUUGCAGAUGUCAUUUCCCACGGCUAGACCAGCACCCAUCCCUCCAGUUUUCCUUAACGUAAGUCUGUGAUUCUCUAUGUUUCAUCUUUUCCUCUUUAAAAAAAUUAGACUA